rnacentral:rRNA from 1 species
CUACGGGCGGCUGCAGUGAGGAAUUUUGCGCAAUGGGGGAAACCCUGACGCAGCAACGCCGCGUGAGCGAAGAAGGCCCUCGGGUCGUAAAGCUCUGUCAAGUGGGAAAAAAAUCUUUUGAUCAAUAGUCAAAAGACUUGAUGGUACCACUGGAGGAAGCACCGGCUAACUCCGUGCCAGCAGCCGCGGUAAUACGGAGGGUGCAAGCGUUGUUCGGAUUUACUGGGCGUAAAGAGCGUGGAGGCGGUUUAGCAAGACAGAUGUGAAAGCCCUGGGCUCAACCCGGGAAGUGCAUUUGAACUGCUUCACUAGAGUGUGGGAGAGGAGAUUGGAAUUCCUGGUGUAGAGGUGAAAUUCGUAGAUAUCAGGAGGAACACCCGUGGCGAAGGCGAUUCUCUGGACCAAUACUGACGCUGAGACGCGAAAGCGUGGGGAGCAAACAGGAUUAGAUACCCGGGUAGUC